rnacentral:rRNA from 1 species
GACGAACCGUCCAAACGUUAUUCGGUAUCACUGGGCUUAAAGCGUUCGUAGGCGGCCUAGUAGGUGAGAUGUGAAAGCCCACGGCUCAACCGUGGAACAGCGUUUCAAACCACUAGGCUCGAGGAUGGCAGGGGUAAUGGGAACUGAUGGUGGAGCGGUGAAAUGCGUUGAUAUCAUCAGGAACACCGGUGGCGAAAGCGCAUUACUGGGCCAUUUCUGACGCUGAGGAACGAAAGCUAGGGUAGCGAAC